rnacentral:rRNA from 1 species
AACGAACGCUGGCGGCAGGCCUAACACAUGCAAGUCGAGCGCCCUUUCGGGGGAGCGGCGGACGGGUGAGUAACGCGUGGGAAUAUGCCCUUCUCUACGGAAUAGCCUCGGUAAACUGAGAGUAAUACCGUAUACGCCCUGUGGGGGAAAGAUUUAUCGGGGAAGGAUUAGCCCGCGUUGGAUUAGGUAGUUGGUGGGGUAAUGGCCUACCAAGCCGACGAUCCAUAGCUGGUUUGAGAGGAUGAUCAGCCACACUGGGACUGAGACACGGCCCAGACUCCUACGGGAGGCAGCAGUGGGGAAUCUUAGACAAUGGGGGCAACCCUGAUCUAGCCAUGCCGCGUGAGUGAUGAAGGCCUUAGGGUUGUAAAGCUCUUUCAGCUGGGAAGAUAAUGACGGUACCAGCAGAAGAAGCCCCGGCUAACUCCGUG